UGACAGUGAUGACGAGUACGAUCGAAG
rnacentral:piRNA from 1 species